rnacentral:rRNA from 1 species
AGUGAACGCUGGCGGUAGGCCUAACACAUGCAAGUCGAACGGCAGCACAGUAAGAGCUUGCUCUUACGGGUGGCGAGUGGCGGACGGGUGAGGAAUACAUCGGAAUCUACUUUUUCGUGGGGGAUAACGUAGGGAAACUUACGCUAAUACCGCAUACGACCUACGGGUGAAAUCAGGGGAUCUUCGGACCUUGCGCGAUUGAAUGAGCCGAUGUCGGAUUAGCUAGUUGGCGGGGUAAAGGCCCACCAAGGCGACGAUCCGUAGCUGGUCUGAGAGGAUGAUCAGCCACACUGGAACUGAGACACGGUCCAGACUCCUACGGGAGGCAGAAGUGGGGAAGUUUGGACAAUGGGGGCAAGCCUGAUCCAGCCAUACCGCGUGGGUGAAAAAGGCCUUCGGGUGGUAAAGCCCUUUUGUUGGGAAAAAAAGGCAGCAGGUUAAAACCCCGCUGUUCUGACGGUACCCAAAGAAUAAGCACCGGCUAACUUCGU